GCACAAGCGGUGGAGCAUGUGGUUUAAUUCGAAGCAACGCGAAGAACCUUACCAAAUCUUGACAUCCUUUGACCGCUCUAGAGAUAGAGUCUUCCCCUUCGGGGGACAAAGUGACAGGUGGUGCAUGGUUGUCGUCAGCUCGUGUCGUGAGAUGUUGGGUUAAGUCCCGCAACGAGCGCAACCCUUAAGCUUAGUUGCCAUCAUUUAGUUGGGCACUCUAAGUUGACUGCCGGUGACAAACCGGAGGAAGGUGGGGAUGACGUCAAAUCAUCAUGCCCCUUAUGAUUUGGGCUACACACGUGCUACAAUGGACAAUACAAAGGGCAGCGAAACCGUGAGGUCAAGCAAAUCCCAUAAAGUUGUUCUCAGUUCGGAUUGUAGUCUGCAACUCGACUACAUGAAGCUGGAAUCGUAGUAAUCGUAGAUCAGCAUGCUACGGUGAAUACGUUCCCGGGC
rnacentral:rRNA from 1 species